rnacentral:rRNA from 1 species
UGGGGAAUAUUGGACAAUGGACCGAGAGUCUGAUCCAGCAAUUCUGUGUGCACGAUGAAGUUUUUCGGAAUGUAAAGUGCUUUCAGUUGGGAAGAAAGAAAUGACGGUACCAACAGAAGAAGUGACGGCUAAAUACGUGCCAGCAGCCGCGGUAAUACGUAUGUCACGAGCGUUAUCCGGAUUUAUUGGGCGUAAAGCGCGUCUAGGUGGUUAUGUAAGUCUGAUGUGAAAAUGCAGGGUUCAACUCUGUAUUGCGUUGGAAACUGUAUAACUAGAGUACUGGAGAGGUAAGCGGAACUACAAGUGUAGAGGUGAAAUUCGUAGAUAUUUGUAGGAAUGCCGAUGGGGAAGCCAGCUUACUGGACAGAUACUGACGCUAAAGCGCGAAAGCGUGGGUAGCAAACAGG